rnacentral:rRNA from 1 species
UACGGAGGGUGCGAGCGUUGUCCGGAAUCACUGGCGUAAAGGGCGCGUAGGCGGCGCGGCAAGUCUGUGGUGAAAGCCCGAGGCUCAACGUUCGGGUCGGCCAUGGAUACUGGCUGCGCUCGAGCGACUGUAGAGGCAGGUGGAAUUCCGGGUGUAGCGGUGGAAUGCGUAGAGGAUCCGGAAGAACGACCGGUGGCGAAGGGCGGC